UUUCAUUCUUUUGGCAAAUAGUUUUAGAUAACCUUGUAUUGUCUCAAAAAACUUCAUUCUAAGUAAAAAUGAUAAACAAAAUCUUGGUGCUGUUCUUGAUGUUGGUUGUUAUUUUGACGAUGAUUCUCAACGUAGAAGGAGACACCAUUGGGUGCCCCCGCUGCGGUGUGGACAUUGUUGACGAUGAUGAUUCAGAGUCAUAGAAAGAAGAUUAAUAUUAUCGGACAUCAUGAUCAAGGACCGACUUCUACAUUUUAAAUUCAUAUAAACGAAUUAUAACGAAUAAAUGAAACUUUUGAAUUUA